rnacentral:rRNA from 1 species
GUGCCAGCAGCCGCGGUAAUACGGAGGGUGCAAGCGUUGUCCGGAUUUAUUGGGUUUAAAGGGUGCGUAGGCGGCUGUUUAAGUCAGUGGUGAAAGACUCCGGCUCAACCGGAGCAGUGCCAUUGAUACUGGAUAGCUUGAGUAUUGGAGGGGUACAUGGAAUUGAUGGUGUAGCGGUGAAAUGCAUAGAUACCAUCAGGAACACCGAUAGCGAAGGCAUUGUACUGGCCCAAUAAACUGACGCUGAUGCACGAAAGCAUGGGUAGCGAACAGGAUUAGAUACCCUGGUAGUCCAUGCCGUAAACGAUGAUUACUCGCUGUUAUGCCCUUGUGGUGUAGCGGCCAAGCGAAAGCGUUAAGUAAUCCACCUGGGGAGUACGCUCGCAAGAGUGAAACUCAAGGAAAUUGACGG